AGGCAUCAAAUUCUUCAGCUUUCCAAGGGAUCCAGCACGGGCUGCGGUAUGGGGAGGAAAGGUUGGAAUAACCUUCACUGUUGAUUCUGCUAGAAUGCUGCACAGUAAAUAUUUGUGCAGCAAACAUUUCCUGGAAAGUGAUUUCACUACACAUUGCAGCAAGCCACAACACUGUAUUGGCUACAGGAGGGUGCUAUGGUGAAUACCUGGCAACAACUAUUUGAUGAUCACCUUGUGAACACAUUUGAAGCUAUUCGUUCGUAGUCUGGUUUGAACAAUAAUCCAACGAGGGACAGUUUGUAGAUGCCCUGAAGACUAAUAUCAUCAGUGCACUUGCAAUGAGAGGUCUGUGUGGAACUAGUUGUGAGGAUGAUGGUGCUACUGUUGUGUGUAACCUACAGUCAUUGUUCAGGGCACCUGAUGCUUCUUCACCAAAUCUGUCCACAAGUCGUGGCAAGGAAGCCCCUGAUGAAGUUCCUGAGUUUCUAUGUUACUCAACAAGUACAGAAGGACAUGGUUACUGCAGUACAUGCUGAUGACCUGGAAGUGUUCUCAGUAGCCUAUGUCAGUGGUUCGAUUGCCAGACAGGUGCUUCGUGGUGUCAGCUGUGAUGCACACAAGACAUGCGUGACAUCUGAAGUGCUGCUAUCAGCCAAUGUCUUCAUAUAUUUCUGAGACAUUGGUGUGGAGACUGUUGGUAUGCUGUAACUGUGAUAUAAUAAAUGAUGGUAGGCAAUUCAAUUCAUGUUGCAGCAUAUCACAGCUGCCAUUAAGAGCACCAUUGACUUGGAGUGGAUUAGGU